AUGCAGUCGAGCGGUAGCACAGAGAGCUUGCUCUCGGGUGACGAGCGGCGGACGGGUGAGUAAUGUCUGGGAAACUGCCUGAUGGAGGGGGAUAACUACUGGAAACGGUAGCUAAUACCGCAUAACGUCGCAAGACCAAAGUGGGGGACCUUCGGGCCUCAUGCCAUCAGAUGUGCCCAGAUGGGAUUAGCUAGUAGGUGGGGUAAUGGCUCACCUAGGCGACGAUCCCUAGCUGGUCUGAGAGGAUGACCAGCCACACUGGAACUGAGACACGGUCCAGACUCCUACGGGAGGCAGCAGUGGGGAAUAUUGCACAAUGGGCGCAAGCCUGAUGCAGCCAUGCCGCGUGUAUGAAGAAGGCCUUCGGGUUGUAAAGUACUUUCAGCGAGGAGGAAGGCAUUAAGGUUAAUAACCUUGGUGAUUGACGUUACUCGCAGAAGAAGCACCGGCUAACUCCGUGCCAGCAGCCGCGGUUAAUACGGAGGGUGCAAGCGUUAAUCGGAAUUACUGGGCGUAAAGCGCACGCAGGCGGUCUGUCAAGUCGGAUGUGAAAUCCCCGGGCUCAACCUGGGAACUGCAUUCGAAACUGGCAGGCUAGAGUCUUGUAGAGGGGGGUAGAAUUCCAGGUGUAGCGGUGAAAUGCGUAGAGAUCUGGAGGAAUACCGGUGGCGAAGGCGGCCCCCUGGACAAAGACUGACGCUCAGGUGCGAAAGCGUGGGGAGCAAACAGGAUUAGAUACCCUGGUAGUCCACGCCGUAAACGAUGUCGACUUGGAGGUUGUGCCCUUGAGGCGUGGCUUCCGGAGCUAACGCGUUAAGUCGACCGCCUGGGGAGUACGGCCGCAAGGUUAAAACUCAAAUGAAUUGACGGGGGCCCGCACAAGCGGUGGAGCAUGUGGUUUAAUUCGAUGCAACGCGAAGAACCUUACCUACUCUUGACAUCCAGAGAACUUAGCAGAGAUGCUUUGGUGCCUUCGGGAACUCUGAGACAGGUGCUGCAUGGCUGUCGUCAGCUCGUGUUGUGAAAUGUUGGGUUAAGUCCCGCAACGAGCGCAACCCUUAUCCUUUGUUGCCAGCGGUUNGGCCGGGAACUCAAAGGAGACUGCCAGUGAUAAACUGGAGGAAGGUGGGGAUGACGUCAAGUCAUCAUGGCCCUUACGAGUAGGGCUACACACGUGCUACAAUGGCAUAUACAAAGAGAAGCGACCUCGCGAGAGCAAGCGGACCUCAUAAAGUAUGUCGUAGUCCGGAUUGGAGUCUGCAACUCGACUCCAUGAAGUCGGAAUCGCUAGUAAUCGUAGAUCAGAAUGCUACGGUGAAUACGUUCCCGGGCCUUGUACACACCGCCCGUCACACCAUGGGAGUGGGUUGCAAAAGAAGUAGGUAGCUUAACCUUCGGGAGGGCGCUUACCAC
rnacentral:rRNA from 1 species